CCUACGGGAGGCUGCAGCGAGGAAUAUUGGUCAAUGGCCGCAGGGCUGAACCAGCCAAGUCGCGUGAGGGAUGACGGUCCUAUGGAUUGUAAACCUCUUUUGUCAGGGAGCAAAGGGCGCCACGUGUGGCGCUUUGCGAGUACCUGAAGAAAAAGCAUCGGCUAACUCCGUGCCAGCAGCCGCGGUAAUACGGAGGAUGCGAGCGUUAUCCGGAUUUAUUGGGUUUAAAGGGUGCGCAGGCGGAAUGUCAAGUCAGCGGUAAAAUUUCGGGGCUCAACCCCGUCGUGCCGUUGAAACUGGCGUUCUUGAGUGAGCGAGAAGUAUGCGGAAUGCGUGGUGUAGCGGUGAAAUGCAUAGAUAUCACGCAGAACUCCGAUUGCGAAGGCAGCAUACCGGCGCUCAACUGACGCUCAUGCACGAAAGCGUGGGUAUCGAACAGGAUUAGAUACCCCGGUAGUC
rnacentral:rRNA from 1 species